ACUGCCACGGUAGUCCAAUACAGUACCGUCGAAAGCUGAUAGGUCAGAAACUUGAAUGAUCCGUCGCAGACCGAAGUCAACGCGAUCCGUUCGGUUACUAUGAAUCACCUGAGGACCACCGGAAGGUGGGUUGGUUCUGUAUCUAAUAAACACUGCCCUUCCAGGGGAAGAGGCAUGUGCGCAUGUAUUAGCCAUAGAAUUACCACGGUUAUCCAUGUAGUAAAGACCAUCAAAUAAACUAUAACUGUUUUAAUGAGCCAUUCGCAGUUUAGCCGUAUAAAAGCUUAUACUUAGACAUGCAUGGCUUAAUCUUUAAGACAAGCAUAUGA